rnacentral:lncRNA from 1 species
CAACGGGGUUUCGGGGCUGUGGACCCUGUGCCAGGAAAGGAAGGGCGCAGCUCCUGCAAUGCGGAGCAGCCAGGGCAGUGGGCACCAGGCUUUAGCCUCCCUUUCUCACCCUACAGAGGGCAGGCCCUUCAGCUCCAUUCUCCUCCAAGGCUGCAGAGGGGGCAGGAAUUGGGGGUGACAGGAGAGCUGUAAGGUCUCCAGUGGGUCAUUCUGGGCCCAGAGAUGGGUGCUGAAGCUCCCACGCCUGCCUGUGAAAAUGGAGUCCUCUUUCACCUGGGAGAGCCAGGUGCUGCCCCGAGAAGGAUGCAUUUAUGGCUUCGUGAAGUCUUUCCUGACCCCCGAUGCUGCUGACUAUAGAGACAAAGUCUCACUAUGUUGCUCAGGCUGGUCUUGAACUCCUGGCCUCAAGCGAUCCUCCCACCUCAGCCUCCCAAAGUGUUGGGAUUAUAGACAUGAGCCACUGCACCUGGCCGACCUUGGGCAAGUUCUUAAACCCUUCAAAGCCUCAUUUUUCUCCAAUCACAAAAGGGAAAGAUGGUAAUAUUUUCCCCACCAAAUUCUUGUCGGAUGCCCUCACAGAAUUGAGAUUAUGUACGUAAAACACCAGGUGCCUAACCCGGCACAGAGCAGGAGGGCUAAGCGUGACAUCCAGCACGUGGUCAGUGGAAUCCAGUAUUCCUACCCACCUCUCUAGUCUCCCCUCCACCCCUCUCCCUUUCAGAGGCACCAAGCUGCUUGUGGUCUUGUCUAUUCCCACUCCCUGCCUGACUGAACAUUUUCUCCACCUCCUGAUCAUCAGCAGCAGAAACUGGCUGCUCUUCCUCCUGGGUAGACAGCCAGACUGUAUUUCCCAGCUGCCCCUGCAGUGAGAUGUGGCCAUCGGAGCCAGCAUUGGCCAAUGGACUCUGCAUGGGAGUGACGCAUGCUGCCUCCAGGCUUGUCUCUAAAACCUCCCACGUGUCCUCCGCCUGCUCUUCCCACCUCCAAGGAGCACGGCAAUUGUGGAAGACCCAGAUUAGUGAUGGCAGAACCAUAGAUGGGAGGAACCUGGGUCCCUGACUUAAAGUAUCAUGGAUUUGGAUGUUCCCUUAGUGAGAAAUAAACUUCCAUUGUGUUUAAGCCUUUA